rnacentral:rRNA from 1 species
AUUGAACGCUGGCGGCAGGCCUAACACAUGCAAGUCGAACGAGUGGCGGACGGGUGAGUAAUGCUUGGGAAUCUAGCUUAUGGAGGGGGAUAACUACGGGAAACUGUAGCUAAUACCGCGUACCAUAGGAUGAGCCCAAGUGGGAUUAGGUAGUGGUGGGGGUAAAGGCUCACCAAGCCGACGAUCCCUAGCUGGUCUGAGAGGAUGACCAGCAAAACGGGGAUGGAGAAACGGCCCAGACCCCUACGGGAGGCAGAAGUGGGGAAUAUGGCGCAAGGGGGGCAACCGGACGAAGCCAUGCCGCGUGAAUGAAGAAGGCCUUGGGGUUGUAAAGUUCUUUCGGGAGCGAGGCGUUAACGAAAGAGGAAGCACCGGCUAACUCCGGGCCAGCAGCCGCGUAAUAC